GGUUCCGUAGCUCAGUUGGAUAGAGCAACUGCCUUCUAAGCAGUAGGUCGCAGGUUCGAGUCUUGCCGGAAUCA
rnacentral:tRNA from 1 species